GAUGAACGCUGGCGGCGUGCUUAACACAUGCAAGUCGAACGAAGCACUUUAUCUUAUUUCCUUCGGGACUGAUUAUUUUGUGACUGAGUGGCGGACGGGUGAGUAACGCGUGGGUAACCUGCCUUGUACAGGGGGAUAACAGUGGGAAACGGCUGCUAAUACCGCAUAAGCGCCCGGCAUCGCAUGAUGCAGUGUGAAAAAGUCGGAUGGUCUAAGAUGGACCCGCGUUGGAUUAGCUAGAUGGGGAGGUAACCGCCUCCCAAGGCGACGAUCCAUACCCGGGCUGUGAGGGUGGCUGGACACUCUGGGACGGGGCAGCAGCGGGGACUCUUACGGGAGGCAGCAAUGGGGGAUAUUGCAAAAUCGGCGAAAGGCUGAUGCAGCGAGGCCGCGUGAGCGCAGUAGUAUGGGGGUAUGUAAAGCUAUAUCAGCCGGGAAGAUAAUGACGGUACCUGACUAAGAAGCACCGGCUAAAUACGUG
rnacentral:rRNA from 1 species